CGAGGGGAUGUCUUCCAAACCCAUUAGCUUGGCAAUCAAAUUUGGGCCUUUUCCCUUCUUCUGUAAAGCUAUUUCUGAUACAGUGGAGCCACAAGAAUGAAUAUUGCUUGACUGAACCACUGACAAUUGGCUUGAGCUAGUGGAAGGGAUAUGCGAAAUUGAGUCCUUUCUCCUAUCAAAAUUUGUUCUCUCCUGGGUAGAUGUGUUUGGAAGCAAAUUUUGCCUAGCCAAGCCGUCUCUGAUUGCAUUCC
rnacentral:misc_RNA from 1 species